AUGGGAGCCUCGCCGAAGUCAGGCGAAAAUUUCGGGGGGCCGACUACUUCUCGAGCACCUCCUCCACCACCACUGCCCCCUCCACCAUUAAGACCUCGACCACCACCGCCGCCUCCCCCGCCAUUACGACCUCGACCAUCAGCUCCACCGCCAGUAUCCUUCGCGUCGCCGGGUCAGGAUGAGCAGAGUAGCAAGCGGCCCUGGAUGCCUAAGAUGGAGUUCCCUAAGUUUGACGGCGAGAAUGUACGUAUUUGGUUGGAUAAGUGUGAAGCUUAUUUCCUGCUAUACCAGAUUCCGGAAUCCUUCAAGCUGAUGUCCGCAUCACUACAUUUGCAAGGCAAUGCCGCUCACUAG
rnacentral:rRNA from 1 species